GCCCUAGUAGCUCAGAGGAUAGAGCGCCUACCUGAAACGUAGUUCGAGGUCGCGGGUUCGAAUCCCGCCUAGGCU
rnacentral:tRNA from 1 species